UGUACAUGCGAUUGCAUUUAUUACUGAUUGUUUUCCCAUUUAUAUCUAUAGACCCCUUGAAGAUCUGCUUAAAGGACUCAUAGCCGCUCUGCACAUCCCAGAACUGGAAGAUAACCCUUCUGCCUCCUCUGAGCCAAAGCUUCCCUAGUUCACAGAGGGCUAUGUGGACACACCACCAGCCUGAAACUUCUGGGUCACCCCUGUGCUGAUGGAGGGUGUCUGCAGCAAGAGAUUAGAUCAAACAACUCAGCCUGUCUGGGCAGAAGCUGUGCAUGUCUUCAGGUAGGUGCUCCAUGUAGUACUCUGUGAGGCUGGGACAGGGAGGAGGCUGAAGGAUGCUUGAACAAGCUUCAU
rnacentral:lncRNA from 1 species